AUGACCUCUCAGAUUCGUCAGAAUUACUCCACCGAGGUGGAGGCUGCUGUCAACAGCCUGGUCAACUUGCAUUUGCAGGCCUCCUACACCUACCCUCUCUGGGCUACUGUUUCGAUCGCGAUGAUGUGGCUCUGGUGUGCGUGGGCCAUUUCUUCUGCGAGUUGGCGGAGGAGAAGCAUGAGGGCGCCCAGCGCCUCCUGAAGAUGCAGAACCAGUGCGGCGGCCGCGCGCUGUUCCAGGAUGUGCAGAAACCUUCUCAGGAUGAGUGGGGUAAAACCGUGGAGGCCAUGGAAGCCGCCCUGGCCCUGGAGAAGAACCUAAACCAAGCCAUUUUGGAUCUUCAUGCCAUGGGUUCUGCUUGCACAGACUCCCAUCUCUGUGACUUCCUGGAGAACCAUUUCCUGGAUGAAGAGGUGAAGCUCAUCAAGAAGAUGGGCGACCACUUAACCAACCUCCACAGGCUGGCUGCCCCUCAGGCAGGAAUAGGCGAGUAUCUCUUCGAACGACUCACCCUCAAGCACGACUAGAGAACACGAGAGUCCAGCAGCCUUUGAGGGCCAUCUCUGCCUUGCCAGAUAUCAGGGUUUCCGCCUGAGCUUCUGCCUCUAGCCAUUGGGAAACUUCCUAACUAACCAUCCUG